AACGAACGCUGGCGGCAUGCCUAACACAUGCAAGUCGAACGAGACCUUCGGGUCUAGUGGCGCACGGGUGCGUAGCGCGUGGGAACCUGCCCUUAGGUUCGGAAUAACUCCCCGAAAGGGGUGCUAAUACCGGAUAAUGUCUUCGGACCAAAGAUUUAUCGCCUUUGGAUGGGCCCGCGUUGGAUUAGCUAGUUGGUAGGGUAAAAGCCUACCAAGGCGACGAUCCAUAGCUGGUCUGAGAGGAUGAUCAGCCACACUGGGACUGAGACACGGCCCAGACUCCUACGGGAGGCAGCUGUGGGGAAUAUUGGACCAUGGGCGAAAGCCUGAUCCAGCAAUGCCGCGUGAGUGAUGAAGGCCUUAGGGUUGUAAAGCUCUUUUACCCGGGAUGAUAAUGACAGUACCGGGAGAAUAAGCUCCGGCUAACUCCGUG
rnacentral:rRNA from 1 species